ensembl:lncRNA
CCCUCACUCAUCACUGAACAAGAAGGUCAGUCUAGUGCCCUUUGGAUCUCUGGACCUUACAGUCUCACUCUUGGGUAUCUGACAGGAGCCUGGGCCUGGGCCACAACCAAAGACUGCCCUACCUCUCAGGGCUCCUCAGGAUGAAGACAGCCUGGAAAAGACAAGCUGACCUCCCAGGUGUGGGUUUUCCUUUCCCCCAGCCACAGACCAGGGGCCUCCCAGAAGAAAUUUGGAAAUGUCCACAAAGAACCAAAAGAGACUUGAUCUACAAAUUAUUUUUUUUUCCCCAAAAAUACUCUGAGCCGGACAUUCUUUAAGGAACUUCGUUUACAUCUAGAAUAAACCUUGUUAUUCUCCUCAAGCCAACACCCUUGCCUGGAGCUCUCUUUACUUCAUGAAGGUGAAUUGUCUAAGACUACAAUUAGUUUGAGUGGAUACACAUUGCUUAUUUGUGAGUAUACUGCCCAGGCAGAGCCAUAGAACAUGCUCUGGCAUCAACAUGACCCUCUAAAAUUGAGAAUAAAUGGUGUUGUCUUGCUGACAUAGUUUAAACAAUUUUUUCCUCCCCUUAAUACUUGGAAUCAAGGUCACAUUCUAACUAUUUAAUCUGGGGCCUCAAACUGGCACAUGACAU